rnacentral:rRNA from 1 species
UACGUAGGGUGCAAGCGUUAAUCGGAAUUACUGGGCGUAAAGCGUGCGCAGGCGGCUCGGUAAGUCGGGUGUGAAACCUCCAGGCUCAACCUGGAGACGCCACCUGAUACUGCUGUGGCUAGAGUCCGGUAGGGGAGCGUGGAAUUCCUGGUGUAGCGGUGAAAUGCGCAGAUAUCAGGAGGAACACCAGCGGCGAAGGCGGCGCUCUGGGCCGGAACUGACGCUGAGGAGCGAAAGCGUGGGUAGCAAACAGG